rnacentral:rRNA from 1 species
UACGUAGGGUGCGAGCGUUGUCCGGAAUUAUUGGGCGUAAAGAGCUCGUAGGCGGUUUGUCACGUCUGCUGUGAAAUCCCGAGGCUCAACCUCGGGCCUGCAGUGGGUACGGGCAGACUGGAGUGCGGUAGGGGAGAAUGGAAUUCCUGGUGUAGCGGUGGAAUGCGCAGAUAUCGGGAAGAACACCUAUGGCGAAGGCAGCUCUCUGGGACGGUACUGACGCUGAGGAGCGAAAGCGUGGGGAGCGAACAGG